AUUCCAGCUCCAAUAGCGUAUAUUUAAGUUGUUGCAGUUAAAAAGCUCGUAGUUGGAUUUCGGGUGAGGAUGACCGGUCUGCCGUUGCGGUACGCACUGGACGUUUUCAUCUUGUUGUCGGGGACGCGCUUCUGGGCUUCACUGUUCGGGACGCGGAGUCGGCGCUGUUACUUUGAAAAAAUUAGAGUGUUCAAAGCAGGCAAUCGCUCUGAAUACAUUAGCAUGGAAUAACGCUAUAGGACUCUGGUCCUGUUGUGUUGGUCUUCGGGACCGGAGUAAUGAUUAAGAGGGACAGUUGGGGGCAUUCGUAUUUCAUUGUCAGAGGUGAAAUUCUUGGAUUUAUUAAAGACGGACUACUGCGAAAGCAUUUGCCAAGGAUGUUUUCAUCA
rnacentral:rRNA from 1 species